AAUCAACGCUGGCGGCGUGCCUAACACAUGCAAGUCGAACGCGAAAGCCCCGCAAGGGGCAAGUAGAGUGGCAAACGGGUGAGUAACGCGUGGGUGACCUGCCUUCGAGCGGGGGAUAACGUUUCGAAAGGAACGCUAAUACCGCAUAACAUCCUGCCUUUGAAGAGGUGGAGAUCAAAGCUGGGGAUCGCAAGACCUGGCACUUGAAGAGGGGCCCGCUCCGAUUAGCAGUUGUGAGUAACGGCUCACCAAGGCUUCGAUCGGUAUCCGGCCUGAGAGGGCGGACGGACACACUGGGACUGAGACACGGCCCAGACUCCUACGGGAGGCAGCGAGUGGGGAAUUUUGGACAAAUGGGGGGAAACCCUGAUCCAGCCAUGCCGCGUGAGUGAAGAAGGCCU
rnacentral:rRNA from 1 species